AACGAACGCUGGCGGCAUGCCUAACACAUGCAAGUCGAACGAACCCUUCGGGGUUAGUGGCGCACGGGUGCGUAACGCGUGGGAAUCUGCCCUUUGCUUCGGAAUAACUCAGGGAAACUUGUGCUAAUACCGGAUGAUGUCUUCGGACCAAAGAUUUAUCGGCAAGGGAUGAGCCCGCGUAGGAUUAGGUAGUUGGUGGGGUAAAGGCCUACCAAGCCGACGAUCCUUAGCUGGUCUGAGAGGAUGAUCAGCCACACUGGGACUGAGACACGGCCCAGACUCCUACGGGAGGCGGCAGUGGGGAAUAUUGGACAAUGGGCGAAAGCCUGAUCCAGCAAUGCCGCGUGAGUGAUGAAGGCCUUCGGGUCGUAAAGCUCUUUUACCAGGGAUGAUAAUGACAGUACCUGGAGAAUAAGCUCCGGCUAACUCCGUG
rnacentral:rRNA from 1 species